UGUGCAUUCCUAUGUCCAAGCCACUGAUACGCCAUGUGAGUAAAACCAGAUGCUAAUUCCUGCAGAACUCUGCUCAUCUCUUCCAUUAUGGGAGAGGUGUUUUUAUGUACCACUACCUGCAAUCUUGGGUCUUGAUUCUGCGAGCACUGUUGUUCCGUUAACUCCAAUGGAACUAGGCCUAGUAAUAUGCUCUACAUCAGUAGCAAACAUUUCCAGGACCAGGACUUGUAUCCUUUUUUUAAUAUGAGGGAUGGGUGGAUGUAGUGAGGCAGUGUGGCCUCCCUGUGAGCCAGAGGGGAGGGACCACUCUCUGCACUCAGGUGAACAGAGUCAGGCUGUGCUAGCCCCUCCCAUGGGAAAUUGAGAGGUGGAUCAGAAAAUAUAAAAGGCGGAUCCUCCAGCUCAGUUGGAGCCAAGCCAGAGAAGAAGACUGAUGGGCCUUACUUGCUGCAGGCCUCUGACUCUCUGUUUCUGAACCAAGCAGUGCCCUGCCCCUGAAGGAGACCAAGUCCGCAGAGGAACUGCUGGGACUGCCACUGGCUGUCUGCCCCAGGAAGACGGAGGACACCCAUGGAGCCAAGAGACAGUCAAUUUAUGGAACUGGUGCAUCAGGAACAUUAUACUUAGGUUACAUAUCUACCAAGUGCACAGAACUCUAGAGGUCACUUCUCCAGAGACCACCAGUGCAGUGAGCAACACCUGGGACCUGUUCGUCUUUUAGAAAAGAAGUCCAACAUAUGCUGCUCCAGCACAGCACUGGGCCAGGCCUCAGGGGUGAGGUCCUUCUGUUAUCCUGAAAGGACCACUGAGUAAGAGGAGGAACUGGAGGGGGUCAGCCGACACUGCCUAUUACAUCCUCACUUUAGAGCACAAGAAGAGCAUCUCCACAGGCAAAGACAAACGGACACUACUUAAUAGAAAUCUCCAGUCUCAGCAGGUGGAUUCUGUCUGACGAAGUGUCAGCAAAAUGUCAGCUCCACAGAAAGAGAUGCCUGCACCCUGCACAAGUGAAACAUUGACAGGUACCCAUUUCCUGCCCAUCUGAGGGACAUGCCAGGAGGACCCUGACCACUCCUAGCUUUCAUGAUGAGGGGAUCAGCACUCACUUUAAGUGUGGAAGCCACUUCCUACUAUCUGUCUAUACCCUGAGUUUAGCAUUGUGGACAGAGCUGCCCAGAACAAGUUAGGAGAGGUGCAGAAGACCUGGUAAAUAAGCAGUGUUCCAAUAUGUUGCUUUAGACAUGGCGGAAGUGGUCUGAAGUCUCAGCUAUUGGAUCUGCACAGGAUUUGGGUUUUUGACUUGCGGCACAUUUCAAGGUCGUUUCUGGGUACUUCAUUCCUUUCCAAGUGUUUGCUGCUUAGCUGUUGGCUGGCUGGCUGGCUAAAUUGGAUUAAAGGCUGGACAGUUUCUCACUUGCAGAGCGUGUGAUAUUAGGGUUGUCACUUGAGGGCUUUUUUAUACUAACUUUGUUUAUUUUCAAGUAUGUACUUUAAGUAGGGCUAAUUUUUAACAUGCUUGACCUUACCUGACUCCAUUCUCUAUUUGCUGCUGCAAUAGGGGAUCCUGUUGUCAAACUUAAACCUUGAUGCUUCAUGAAAGUAUGUACAGUACAGAAGGUAAAACAGAUGUAAUCUGUUUUCUGCACCUGUUGAAAAUAAAUUAUGGUGGAGAUUUGCUUAGCUCUUGCCUAGUUAUAUAGUCCCUGUCUGAUCAAUCCAGUGUCUGUCCUGCUGUACUCCUCUGUACUUUACACAGUUCCUUUUUGUAAGCUAUGAGGCUGAACGAGUCCCCCGUGACUUCCCCGAGUCACUUAGUGGCUGCUGUUAAAUCAGUCUUUACUCUCUGUUAACACAAA